rnacentral:rRNA from 1 species
UUCCUUGAACCGCAUGGUUCAAGGAUGAAAGACGGUUUCGGCUGUCACUUACAGAUGGACCCGCGGCGCAUUAGCUAGUUGGUGGGGUAAUGGCUCACCAAGGCUCUUGACGAUGCGCUAGCCGACCUGAGAGGGUGAUCGGCCACACUUCGGGACUGAGACACGGCCCAGACUCCUACGGGAGGCAGCAGUAGGGAAUCUUCCGCAAUGGACGAAAGUCUGCAACGGACGCAACGCCGCGUGAGUGAUGAAGGUUUUCGGAUCGUAAAGCUCUGUUGUUAGGGAAGAACAAGUGCGAGAGUAACUGCUCGCACCUUGACGGUACCUAACCAGAAAGCCACGGCUAACUACGUGCCAGCAGCCGCGGUAAUACGUAGGUGGCAAGCGUUGUCCGGAAUUAUUGGGCGUAAAGGGUCUCGCAGGCGGUUUCUUAAGUCUGAUGUGAAAGCCCCCGGCUCAACCGGGGAGGGUCAUUGGAAUCACUGGGAAACUUGAGUCAGCAUGAAGAGGAGAGUGGAAUUCCACGUGUAGCGCGUGAAAUGCGUAGAGAUGUGGAGGAACACCAGUGGCGAAGGCGACUCUCUGGUCUGUAACUGACGCU